rnacentral:rRNA from 1 species
UUGAACGCUGGCGGCGUGCCUAACACAUGCAAGUCGAACGAAGCGCUUGGAGCUUGCUCUGAGUGACUGAGUGGCGCACGGGUGAGUAACGCGUGGAUGAUCUACCCUCAAGUUUGGGACAACGCCGGGAAACUGGCGCUAAUACCGAAUACGCUCGGAGUUUCAUCGUUCCGGGGAAAGGAGGCCUCUGUAUAUGCUUUCGCUUGAGGAUGAGUCCGCGUCUCAUUAGGUAGUUGGUGGGGUAAAGGCCUACCAAGCCGACGAUGAGUAGCCGACCUGAGAGGGUGACCGGCCACACUGGGACUGGAACACGGCCCAGACUCCUACGGGAGGCAGCAGUGGGGAAUAUUGCGCAAUGGGCGAAAGCCUGACGCAGCGACGCCGCGUGAGGGAUGAAGGUUUUCGGAUCGUAAACCUCUGUCAGGGGGGAAGAACCGGCAUGGUGCUAAUCAGCCAUGCUUUGACGGUACCCCCAAAGGAAGCACCGGCUAACUCCGUGCCAGCAGCCGCCGUAAAAC